GGCCAUAUCAUGUUGAAACACCGGUUUCUAUAUGAUCACUGAAGUUAAGCAACGUUGAAUCUGGUCAGUACUGAGAUGAGUGACCACUUGGGAACACCAUGUGCUGUAA